rnacentral:rRNA from 1 species
UACGUAGGGUGCAAGCGUUAAUCGGAAUUACUGGGCGUAAAGCGUGCGCAGGCGGUUAUGUAAGACAGAUGUGAAAUCCCCGGGCUCAACCUGGGAACUGCGUUUGUGACUGCAUAGCUAGAGUACGGUAGAGGGGGAUGGAAUUCCGCGUGUAGCAGUGAAAUGCGUAGAUAUGCGGAGGAACACCGAUGGCGAAGGCAAUCCCCUGGACCUGUACUGACGCUCAUGCACGAAAGCGUGGGGAGCAAACAGG